AUUUCGCCUGCUGCGGUUUCAGUUGUCAUUUUACUACAGCCGCUGUUAGUUAGUUAUUUGUGUGCGUCGUCGCGCGUUUCCCAGCAAAUAAGACUGCAACGCGAAGUUUGAGCCACACCAGCAGCGGUAACAUCUGCAGCAGAACGCAGCAACAGCAGCAACAUCCUUCUUGGGCGUGCGCGCGCGUUUAGAAACGCGCGCAAAUAUCGCUUAGCUCGCUAUCGCGAUCUUCUCAAGGCUGCACGCGUUUUCUGCUGACGUCGCCGUUUGCGUCGCUGCCGCGUCGUCAUCGCGUCUGUGUCGCGUCUACGUGUUCAAAGGCAGAAAUUCCUUUCAGUUCGUGCCGUUCGCUUUCAUAAUUCCCCCUAAUUAUCCGCCGCACAUUUAAUAUUUUAUAUACAAAUUUUUUUUUUUUUUCGGUGUUUGUGUAAUGUGCAGAAAAGGCGAGCACACAAGAAAUAAACGCCACGUUUGAAAUGCAUGCAUAACGCGUAUAUAAAGUUCAAGGAAGUCCAAAAGGCCAACACAUGCAUAUCCCAAGGAAAUAUAUUGAGGGAAAAUAACAAAAAAUAAAAAAUCAUACCGUAAACUGAUCUUGGUUUCUGUGUUAUACUUAUCUAAGCAAAGAGCGGUUAUUAUUUUUGUUCUACUUUGCCGCUGCCUGCUGCAUAAGCAAACAGGCAGCGUAAGCUGUCACCGACAUGGGCAGUGAGCACUACUGCUUGAGGUGGAACAAUUACCAAUCCAACCUGUUAGGGGUGUUUAGUCAAUUACUACAAGACGGGAGCCUGGUGGACGUCACACUAGUUUGUUCAGAGGGCACAUCCAUC